AGGCCCUUUCGGGGGUACUCGAGUGGCGAACGGGUGAGUAACACGUGGGUGAUCUGCCCUGCACUUCGGGAUAAGCUUGGGAAACUGGGUCUAAUACCGGAUAGGACUACGGCAUGCAUGUGCUGUGGUGGAAAGUUUUUAACGGUGUGGGAUGGGCCCGCGGCCUAUCAGCUUGUUGGUGGGGUGAUGGCCUACCAAGGCGACGACGGGUAGCCGGCCUGAGAGGGUGUCCGGCCACACUGGGACUGAGAUACGGCCCAGACUCCUACGGGAGGCAGCAGUGGGGAAUAUUGCACAAUGGGCGCAAGCCUGAUGCAGCGACGCCGCGUGGGGGAUGACGGCCUUCGGG
rnacentral:rRNA from 1 species